ACCUUCCUAGUGUAAUGGUAGCAUAUGCUAAUCACGAUCAAGCAAGACGUAGGUUCGAAUCCUACGGAAGGUC
rnacentral:tRNA from 1 species